CGACGAGCAUCGCGCUCGUUGCGGGGUCGAGCCGAUCUGCAGCGCGCUGCAGGUCGCCCCG
rfam:Variovorax sp. WDL1 contig_40, whole genome shotgun sequence.